rnacentral:rRNA from 1 species
CGAGCGAACGUUGUUCGGAAUCACUGGGCUUAAAGGGCGCGUAGGCGGGUGCUCAAGUCCGUGGUGAAAUCCUCCGGCUCAACCGGAGAACUGCCUCGGAUACUGGGUGCCUCGAGGGUGGUAGGGGUAUGCGGAACUAUCGGUGGAGCGGUGAAAUGCGUUGAUAUCGAUAGGAACUCCGGUGGCGAAGGCGGCAUACUGGACCACCUCUGACGCUGAGGCGCGAAAGCCAGGGGAGCAAACGGG